rnacentral:lncRNA from 1 species
GUCCCAACCUUCUUUCCUGCUAUCGCCUCUCUCACUCUAAAAAUAUAUUCUUCACCCAUAAUAAUAAUAAGGUCCUGUCCCAUUUUAAGUGUUUUAACCCUUGAUCACCGAUACCCUGUCCGACUGACGUAGGGCCCCGUAACGUAUGUCAAGGCUCUGCCUAAAUUCGUUGGAGUUCUGUCUCGUGACGUAGGGAUAAAGUGAAAUUGGGUUACUAUACUUGAUGUGGGUACACUACAUAUUUUAUUAAAUAACCCAGAAGUGAUACCCAAAAUAUAACAUUGAAAAUAAUGAAAAACAAUAAAUAUUAAGUUAAGGCGGGCCGCAUAGACCCACCCUAACCUUUAACGCGGGCCGCAAUAAGGUGUAACCGGACUCCGCUGGAAUCUUUAGUUCAUGCGGGCCGCGUAAGAUAUCGUUAAGUUAACGCGGGCCGCGAGAGAUCGAAGUUGUGGCGCAGCCCGGUGAUGACACGUGUCAUCAUCGUGGCGGGUCUAGGGGGUGAGCCGGACAAGCUAGUCCGUUGACCGGGAUUGACGCGGGCCGCAUAAUCCCUGUCCAUUCUUUACGCGGGCCGCGUGGGAACCAGUUUCAGCAACUAUAUAAGGAACGCAGCGGAUUUCAAUUCAGUUCGUUCAUUUCUCAAUUCUCAAAUGACAAUUUCUGUAGUAGGCUUAUUAUACUCGGAUUAUAACCAGGAAGCCACAAAGGAAAUACCUAAAAUAGCAAUGUGAGUAAUCCUCUUUUUAUGUAAACCUUUUUGUGAGUAAUCUCCUUUUUGUUAACAGUUUUUACAAAACCUUAACCUUUUGAUAAUGCAAUUUAGCAGUGAUUGAGUCUUUGUAAUUCUACAAUUACUGCCGGUAUGUUGGGGUUUUGUAUACAAAAUGUGAGUAACGUUACCAUUGGACGAAGAGUUAGCCAAUGGGUAAUAUGACCCUCAGUCAGACUUGACACUACUGAAUGAGUAAUUGGGUAGAUAUAAACAUUGUAAUCGCCCUCAAUACUGUUUAAAGUAAAUUAAUAUUUGUUGAUUAAACUGGGAUUCACUCACCAGUAUUUCUUGCUGAUAAAAUGUUUUUAAAACGCGUUUCAGGUAAUACAAUGUGAAAGCCAAUUAGAAUAAAGCCAGCUCGAGAGCACUUACGGCUUGGAAAAAUGUGGCUAUAAAAGUUACCUAAAAGACGAUGUUUUAAAUUCAAUAAAAUAAGGGUUAUCCCUAUAAACAUGUUGUAAUAAGAAUCUUGGGUUUUACCCAUGUGAUUAUAAAAAUAAAAUAUGGUGGUUUUACUCUGAUAAAAUAUUUCCUAACUAUGGUCCUGAUGAAAUUUCCGCUGCCAAAAUAAUUAAACAUACGGAUACCACCGACACUGGCUCGCGGCCGCCCGUUCCCGGGAAUUAGGAUCGGGGGUUGUGACAGAAGGUGGUAUCAGAGCCUAGCCACUGGUUCAAGCCAAAGAAGUGUUCUGCUGACACUUAAAUUUUAAUUCUGUGUUAGGAAAUAACUUAUGUGAUUAUGUGUUUUAUAUUAUUUGACUGUUUGUUAGUCUACAGUGAUUAAAUUUUUGGUAUUCUGCAAUAGCUACCGGUAUGGGGAUUUUAUACAUUACUUGAUACCCGCUACUAUUGGCCAAAGAGUUAGUCAAUAGUGGCACAAAUAUGAUUUAGUGGAGGCAUGAACAUUCAAUGCUAUAUAUUAGUAAUAAUAUAUCUAAACCUUUAUAUAUGGCCUUGUUAUUUAAAAUAGUAUUAUAUUAAAUGUUUAAUUAUGGUUUAAAUAUUAUGGUUCCAAAUAUUAUAGUUAAUAUUUAAUAUAGUACAUUAUAACUAGCUAAUCGCAUGCUUAAUAACCGAGCACUCUUUAAUCCAACUUCCUACUUUAGUGAAAUGUCAAUUAUAUUGUGAUUUAUUAAUUAAAUAAAUAUGAACUAAAACAAAUUAAUGAUAUUGCGUAGUGGAUCUCUAAGUUCCAACCAACAGGUACCACCUUUGCAAAUUGCAAUUGUAUGGACCGUGAUACCAUAUGGAAGCUAGACUAAUUAAUUCACAUCAAUAAUUUGUGAAAACUAUAAGUGUUAUAAAAUUGCGAUUAAUGGUAUAAUAUAAGUUGCUACAAAUAUAUUAUUUAACGCUUUUCAGUAUAAAUAGUUAAUAAGGACAUGCUAUAAAGUGUAUUUUGUAGUGUGUUAAAUUUGUAGUAAUUAAUAGUUAAAAGCUAAAAUUAUUAAAAAUAUUAAAUAAAUUUGAAGAUUACUUAGAUUGUGUAGUAUAAUUAGUUAAUUAAUAUAUUAUAUGUGAUAAAGUUAUAGCUAUUAAAUUUACAGAAAAUGAUAUAUUAUGGGCUAAUUGGUUUUGUGCCAUAGAAAAUAUAUUUGACAAAGUAAUGUCACGGGACACAACUAAGUUCAGAGUCACUAGUUGAGAGAAUGAUCAACAGUGAUAUGACCACAAUUACUAGUUGAGAGAAUGAUCAACAGUGAUUUGAC